ACUCCUGCGGGAGGCAGCAGUGGGGAAUAUUGGACAAUGGGCGCAAGCCUGAUCCAGCCAUGCCGCGUGAGUGAUGAAGGCCCUAGGGUUGUAAAGCUCUUUCACCGGUGAAGAUAAUGACGGUAACCGGAGAAGAAGCCCCGGCUAACUUCGUGCCAGCAGCCGCGGUAAUACGAAGGGGGCUAGCGUUGUUCGGAUUUACUGGGCGUAAAGCGCACGUAGGCGGACUAUUAAGUCAGGGGUGAAAUCCCGGGGCUCAACCCCGGAACUGCCUUUGAUACUGGUAGGCUUGAGUUCGAGAGAGGUGAGUGGAAUUCCGAGUGUAGAGGUGAAAUUCGUAGAUAUUCGGAGGAACACCAGUGGCUAAGGUGGCUCACUGGCUCGAUACUGACGCUGAGGUGCGAAAGCGUGGGGAGCAAACAGGAUUAGAAACCCUUGUAGUCCCAUG
rnacentral:rRNA from 1 species